rnacentral:lncRNA from 1 species
GGGAUUUAGGGUUUGAACCCAUUAAGGGGAAGCAUCUGUACCACAUCGGUUAGAGAAUUAACUAUAUGUUAAUUCUCUAAUGCGAGGAAAAGAAACAAGUGACCGGAACUUCCUUUUUGUAUGAGGAACCUGAGCCUAGUGAUCUAAACUCCAAGAGACACUUUUCUUUGUAAUUAAAAUCAGUUAUUAUUUUUUGUUAGCUUAAAACCAACCUUUUCAACUAAAGAUUAUGUUUUCUUUUAAAGCUAACCUUGAAAUGAAAAGGCACCAAUUCAUCUUUGAAUUAAUAUCAAUUGUGGAGUGAAAACCCAUCCCAGUGAACUAUCCUAGAGCCAUUAUGCUAUAGUAACUUUGUCUUUGCUACCCUAGUUCAUGGUGUAAUAGGUUAUAAAUUUUGUUCAUUGCUCCCUCAAUCAAGGAGCACUAGCUGGACAUGAAUCAGUUGAUACACCAAGUGGACACGAAUCAAAUGGCGUCGUUGCCGGGAACGAAUCAAAUGGCACUGUUGCUCGGGGACGAAUCACAAUGUCGAUGAACCUAGUGAUCAUCUUAACAAUAGUCUCAUUAUCUUUCAUAAAAAACAAUUCAUAAGUAUGAACAAGUAAAGUGAUUUUUGACCCUUUCACUUUAUUUGUUCCUUUACGAGUUAUUUCAAGCAAUCUCCAAAUUGUUUUAGCCGAUUUGUAUUGACAUAUUCUAUUAUAUUCAUUUCUAUUUAUAGAGCAUAGCAAAGUGUAAACAACCUUAGCAUUUAAUUGAAAAUUCCUUCUAUCACACUCAUCCUAUUCUUGCUUGGGUUUUGGAACCAUGACUCCAUCAACUAGUUUUGAAGGAAAAGUUGGGCCAUCUUCAAUGACGUCCCAUAAGUCUAAAUCGGUUGAUUGUAAAAGCCAAGUCAUUUUAGUUUUCAAUAGGAAUAAUCGGUUCCCGUAAAAAAAAUGGAGGUCUAUUUUUUGCAAAACUUUCAAUGUGAGAUGAGCUUGAUGGAAUAACCAUUUUCUCUUAAACGAUUAAGUCUUAAACAAGAGUCCUAGCUCUGAUACAAAUUGAGGACCUCAGGCGCUACCAACUCUCCUAAAAGCAAUUGUUGUUAGGAAAGGCGCAUACCCUAGCCUUAUAGUGCAUUCACCUAAGCACCCACAACGAACACAAGGGGAGUUGAUGGACGCAGCCAACCCUCCGAUCUGCCAACACCCACCAUUUUUAUUUUUAUUUUUUUGCUACAAUGAAUGACUCAUUAUCUCGCUCCUAUUGAAACUAUGUAAAUAGUAGACACAUCAAUUUUACUAAUUGUAAAAGCCCUAGAUUUGCAGAUAUUUUCCUUUUAAUCGAGAAACUUUUGUGAUUGAGC